UACGUAGGCAGCGAGCGUUGUUCGGAAUUACUGGGCGUAAAGAGUGUGUAGUCGGUGUUCCCAGUCUGUUGUGAAAUCUCCCGGCUUAACUGGGAGGGUGCAGCGGAAACUAGAAUGCUAGAGGGUGGGAGAGGUAAGCGGAAUUCCUGGUGUAGCGGUGAAAUGCGUAGAUAUCAGGAGGAACACCUGUGGUGUAGACAGCUUACUGGACCACUUCUGACGCUGAGACACGAAAGCGUGGGUAGCAAACAGG
rnacentral:rRNA from 1 species